GACAGCAGUAGCCGCGGGAAUACGAAGGGGGCUAGCGUUGCUCAGAAUGACUGGGCGUAAAGGGCGCGUAGGCGGUUGUCACAGUCGGGUGUGAAAUUCCUGGGCUUAACCUGGGGACUGCAUUCGAGACGUGGUGGCUUGAGUGGGGAAGAGGGUCGUGGAAUUCCCAGUGUAGAGGUGAAAUUCGUAGAUAUUGGGAAGAACACCGGUGGCGAAGGCGGCGACCUGGUCCUUUACUGACGCUGAGGCGCGAAAGCGUGGGGAGCAAACAGGAUUAGAUACCCGCGUAGUCCCUGUCUCUUAUAC
rnacentral:rRNA from 1 species